GUGGUGUAUUAUGCAGCAGUAGUUAACGGAAACAUCUUCCCAGCAAUCUCCUUGCUAAGCAAAAGUUUUUGGCAAAUUGCCGCUGCAGCUACUUCCUCUGUUUACUGUUAACUGCAACAGUGAGAGCUCAGAAAUUCCCAGACUGUUUUGAUGAUAAGGUCCAAGAACUUGCCAUGUGAUCCAUCACUACUAGACUCCCACAACUGCAUUAGAUUUGUUCAGGAUUUUCAUAUAAUUUUCAUAACUGGCUAAGUUCUGAAAUAACCCAUCUUGAAGACAUAAACAAUGUGCAUUGAUGGCUAGCCAGACUCUGUCCUGCCACAGUUCUCCUCCUACUCUUCAUUUCUUACCCCAAGGAGUAGUAAACAUGAAUCCUGACCCACCAAUGCAGUCCCAGAACUGAGAAAAGAUUCACUGCAGCUAAACAGAUUAUUUUUGCACCUUUGGAAAGCAACUGAAAAAGGAAGCCUGGAAAAAAUCCUGCCUAACAAAGCAGCAGUACUCAAAUAGCUUUAACUAUAAGAAAGAACUGAUUCAAG
rnacentral:lncRNA from 1 species